AAGUCGUAACAAGGUUUCCGUAGGUGAACCUGCGGAAGGAUCAUUAUUGAAUAAUCUUGAUGGAUUGUUGCUGGCUCUUCAAAGGAGCAAGUGCACAUCUGUCAUUUUUAUCUUUCCACCAUGUGCACUAUGCAUAGACUUGACAUUUCUGUGAUCAAACUUCGUUUUUGAUUUUUGGAGAUUGCUGUUUGUGAUAACAGCUUUUUCUGUGUUCAAGUUCUAUGAAUUUAUAUACACACCUAUGCAUGUCAAAGAAUGUUAUAAAGGGUUUUUAAAAUCCUAUAAAGUUAAAUACAACUUUCAGCAACGGAUCUCUUGGCUCUC
rnacentral:misc_RNA from 1 species